rnacentral:misc_RNA from 1 species
UCAAACUUGGUCAUUUAGAGGAAGUAAAAGUCAUAACAAGGUUUCUGUAGGUGAACCUGCAGAAGGAUCAUUAGUGAAUUUAACAGGGUGUACGGAUUCGUCCUGCCCGAUUUUCUUCAUUCUUGAACACCUGUGCACCGUUGCGUUGUUUGUCAUAAAAGACAAACGGCCAACAACACUUUAUUCUAAACACUAUUUUGUUUUGAACGUUUUAUCUAAAAAAAAUAAAAACUUUUGACAACGGAUCUCUUGGUUCUCCCAUCGAUGAAGAACGCAGC